rnacentral:lncRNA from 1 species
CAGUUGUGGGGUCAACAAAGGCUUCCAAAGGGUCCAUAGGUGAAGCCACAUAGUCUCUCACCUCCUUCUCACACAAAGGAGAAACGAGGUUAAAAUUGACAUCAGAGAUCCUUAGAGUACAAACAGUUUAGGUGUGUAAGGACUUCUAUCUCCUAGGUUUAGGGCUACUUCUGUAGGUUAUUAGAGUUGGGGAGAGAAAGAGAACAUUUUACCUAUCUUUGACUCUCCCUUGAGCUGCAAAGAGGCAAGCACCUGAAGAUUUAGACCAGAGGUUGGCGAACUAUGACUCACGGACCAAAUCCAGCCUGUUGUCUGUUUUUAUAUAGCCCAUAAGCUAAGAAUGAUAUUUAUAUUUUUACAUGGUUGGAGGAAAAUAUUAAAAAAGAAUAAGAUUUAUUGACACAGGAAAAUCCUAUGACAUUCACAUUUCAGUGUCUACAAAUAAAGUUGAACUGGAACACAGCCUGCUCACUCCCUUAAUGUAUUGUCUACGUCUGCUUUCAUAGUAAAAUGGCAGAGCUGAGUAGUUACAACAGAACAAUGGCCUACAAAAGCUAAAAUCUUUACUAUCUGGCCCUUGACAGAAAAAGUAUCUGGUUUGGACCCUUCACAAGGAGGGACACUAACCCCCUCCUGUUUGACUCUGCACCCUCCGCUUCGUCUUCUGCAGUGAUGUCUGUGUACAUGUGCAUUUCCCAAACUGCUCUGAUGGAUGAGCCAGAACAUUGCUUCUCUCACCCACCAGCACCCAGCAAGAGGACGGGCAGCUCCUAAAAUUUGCCUCUCUGGUACUGGCAUUUCUUGCCACUGUUGGUCAGAGCAGUGCCUUCUCUAGAGACCGUCUAAUUCCCCUGAGGCUGAAAGAGAGUCCACAAUGAGCUGCUUCGUCUGAGCAAAGAAGUUGCUGGAGAUUAAAAAUGGGCAAAAGUCACUUGUUGGAUUCUACCAGGAAAUCCAUGCAGAACCAUAGCAACACUUAGCCUAGUCAGGAAGGCCACACAAACCCCAGAGUAGAGAGGGAAAACAAACAAGGGCCCUAGGAAAAUCCCGGCCCUC